UAUUCUUUGGGGAGCGGUAAAAUGCUAUAAUCCAUUGAAGACUACCAGUGGCGAAGGCGUCUGACUAGAACGGAUCCGACUGUGAGGGACGAAAGCUAGGGGAGCGAUCCGGAUUAGAUUCCCGAGUAGUCCUAGCCGUAAACGCUGUGAGUUAGGUGUUGCAUAAUCUAUAGGAUUGUGCAGUGUCGAAGCGAAGGUGUUAAACUCACCACCUGGGAAGUACGGCCGCAAGACUGAAACUUAAAGGAAU
rnacentral:rRNA from 1 species